AUUGAACGCUGGCGGCAUGCCUUACACAUGCAAGUCGAACGGCAGCACGGGAGCAAUCCUGGUGGCGAGUGGCGAACGGGUGAGUAAAGUAUCGGAACGUGCCCAGUCGUGGGGGAUAACGUAGCGAAAGUUACGCUAAUACCGCAUACGAUCUACGGAUGAAAGCGGGGGAUCGCAAGACCUCGCGCGAUUGGAGCGGCUGAUAUCAGAUUAGGUAGUUGGUGGGGUAAAGGCUCACCAAGCCGACGAUCUGUAGCUGGUCCGAGAGGACGACCAGCCACACUGGGACUGAGACACGGCCCAGACUCCGACGGGAGGCAGCAGUGGGGAAUUUUGGACAAGGGGGGCAAGCCUGAUCCAGCCAUGCCGCGUGCAGGAUGAAGGCCUUCGGGUUGUAAACUGCUUUUGUACGGAACGAAAAGGUUUGGCCUAAUAAGCUGGACCCAUGACGGUACCGUAAGAAUAAGCACCGGCUAACUACGUGCCAGCCGCCGCGGUAAGAC
rnacentral:rRNA from 1 species